UACGUAGGUGGCAAGCGUUGUCCGGAAUUAUUGGGCGUAAAGCGCGCGCAGGCGGUCCUUUAAGUCUGAUGUGAAAGCCCACGGCUCAACCGUGGAGGGUCAUUGGAAACUGGGGGACUUGAGUGCAGGAGAGAAGAGUGGAAUUCCACGUGUAGCGGUGAAAUGCGCAGAUAUCGGGAAGAACACCCGUGGCGAAGGCGGCUCUCUGGGACGGUACUGACGCUGAGACGCGAAAGCGUGGGGAGCGAACAGG
rnacentral:rRNA from 1 species